CGCCGUCCGGAGUCAGGUAGUCAGCUUGCGUCCUCCUGAUACCCCAGCGCCGGCGACCUCGCUGUGUCCCGCAAGCCUGGGAACCCAGAAGGCAAUAGGAGCGGUGCCGCUGCUGCACAGCUGAGACCUGUAGGCACUUAGCCCUUCCUACCACAAAAUUAACCGGGAGUCUCCAUCGCCUUCAGGGCGCCUCGGAAACCAGGAGAUCCUGAGGAAAAGUAAAGAAUCUUCAAGAAGAUUGAGCUGUUCACUGAUGAGUUCAACAACCAUGUCUUCGAUGUCUGUGAACCAAAAGAGAAAAGGCUGGAUUGUUGGAGGAGCUGGAAAAAGCUUGUUGGCCCUGGAGCAUUGACCUUGGCAUUCUUCUCUGCCCCUUGCAAUAGAGUGCUACCAAAGUCACACUUCCAGGAGGAAGAGACACCAGCGUCUGCAAGCACAGAAGGCCAUGUGAGGAGCCAGAAAACCACGGCUGUCUGCCUGGCAUCAUGCCAAGGUAGGCGGAUCGCUUGAGGUAAGGAAUUCAAGACCGGCUUGGGCAACAUAGCGAGACCCGUCUCUACAAAAAAUACAAAAAUUAGCAGGGUGUGGUGGCAGGCACCUAUAGUCCCAGCUAUUCUAGGGGCUGGGGUGGGAGGAUCGCUCGAACCUGGGAGGAGGAGGUUGCAGUGGGCUGGAAUCAGGCCUUCGCACUCCAGCCUGGGUGACAGAGUGAGAACCUGUCUAAAAAAAUAAAGGGCUGUCUGAAGCCAAGGAGAGUGGCUUCACCAGAAACCAACCCUCACAGCAUCUUGAUCUUGGACUUUCAGCCUCCAGAACUGUGAGAAAAUAAUUUUUUGUUGUCUAAACCACCCAUUGUGUAGUAUUCUGUUAAGGCAGGCUGAGCCGACUAAGGCAGUUGAUAAGGAUAGUUGAAUCAGUGUUGUGUUAAAUGUAGGAAAUAUUUGCCAUUUGAAAGAUCUGUAAAGGACAUGAACUUGGGUUUAUGUUAUUUGUUGACUUCUUAAAGUUGGGUACUUUUGCUUAUGUGUAACAUUAAUACCAUGCUGUGAAGUUUUAGAAGUUUUAGUUUUUUUUGUUUUCAGUAUUUCAUGUACUGUUUUUUCUUAUACUUGUGAGUCAUGUAAUAAUUUAGAAAUAUUCAGAAAUAGGAAGUUAUGUUACAACUGAUUUUCUAGAAUUGAAUUUCAUUAUUACAAUGAACCUGCUUUUAAUUGAGGUGGUACUAUAAUUUAGCAGUUUUAACCUUAGGUGUGACUUGUGAUUAACUAGCUUAAGCUUUAGACUUCAUAAUAUCUCACUAACUGAUCUUUUGUGAAUUGAUAAUACUGUAUUUUAACACCUAUAUUGUAAAUAUGAUUUGCCAAACAUUUUGGGAAAGGAGGGAAAUGGCCUGUUUCUUUUUUCAUUGGUUUAAAAUAUGCUUUUCUAAAUAUUCCUAAUUAAAUAUUGUAUGUUCAACUUUUUGUAUAACCUAAGCCAAUCUACAUAUCUUCUGUGGCACAUAUAAUUUCUUUAAGGGGUAAGAAAAAAGUUCAUUUACUAAAUUGGAAAAAAAUAGGAAAAAUAUAAGUUUCUAAAAAUAGAACUCUGUGGCACUUAAAUAUUAGCCUUUUAGCUACAUAGAACCAAAUACUUAUUUGUAAUAUUGUGCUGAUGCCUUUAGAUGGCAGUAGUUCUGCAUGAGGAAUAUUUUUCAUUUUUUAAGUAAUCUUAAAAUCUUUACAUUUCUUAAUAAAACAUACUUCAUUU
ensembl:lncRNA